rnacentral:rRNA from 1 species
CCUACGGGGGGCUGCAGUGAGGAAUAUUGCUCAAUGGGCGCAAGCCUGAAGCAGCGACGCCGCGUGGGUGAAGAAGGUCUUCGGAUCGUAAAGCCCUUUUCUCCCUGACGAGAACGGACGGUAGGGGAGGAAGAAGUGUCGGCUAACUACGUGCCAGCAGCCGCGGUAAAACGUAGGACGCAAGCGUUAUCCGGAAUUACUGGGCGUAAAGCGCGUGUAGGCGGGUCAAUAAGUCACUGUUGAAAGCUUCAGGCUAAACCUGGAGAGGUGCGGUG